rnacentral:rRNA from 1 species
GACGAACGCUGGCGGCGUGCCUAAUACAUGCAAGUAGAACGCUGAAGAGAGGAGCUUGCUCUUCUUGGAUGAGUUGCGAACGGGUGAGUAACGCGUAGGUAACCUGCCUUGCAGCGGGGGAUAACUAUUGGAAACGAUAGCUAAUACCGCAUAACAAUGGAUGACACAUGUCAUUUAUUUGAAAGGGGCAAUUGCUCCACUACAAGAUGGACCUGCGUUGUAUUAGCUAGUAGGUGAGGUAAUGGCUCACCUAGGCGACGAUACAUAGCCGACCUGAGAGGGUGAUCGGCCACACUGGGACUGAGACACGGCCCAGACUCCUACGGGAGGCAGCAGUAGGGAAUCUUCGGCAAUGGGGGCAACCCUGACCGAGCAACGCCGCGUGAGUGAAGAAGGGUUUCGGAUCGUAAAGCUCUGUUGUAAGUCAAGAACGGGUGUGAGAGUGGAAAGUUCACACUGUGACGGUAGCUUACCAGAAAGGGACGGCUAACUACGUG